AGGGGAUCGCAAGACCUUGCGCUUUUGGAGCGGCCGAUGUCUGAUUAGCUAGUUGGUGAGGUAAAGGCUUACCAAGGCUUCGAUCAGUAGCUGGUCUGAGAGGACGACCAGCCACACUGGGACUGAGACACGGCCCAGACUCCUACGGGAGGCAGCAGUGGGGAAUUUUGGACAAUGGGGGCAACCCUGAUCCAGCCAUGCCGCGUGAGUGAAGAAGGCCUUCGGGUUGUAAAGCUCUUUCAGCCGGAACGAAAAGGUUACGGUUAAUACCCGUGACUAAUGACGGUACCGGAAGAAGAAGCACCGGCUAACUACGUGCCAGCAGCCGCGGUAAUACGUAGGGUGCGAGCGUUAAUCGGAAUUACUGGGCGUAAAGCGUGCGCAGGCGGUUUUGUAAGUCAGAUGUGAAAUCCCCGGGCUCAACCUGGGAACUGCGUUUGAAACUACA
rnacentral:rRNA from 1 species